UACGUAGGGUGCAAGCGUUGUCCGGAAUUAUUGGGCGUAAAGAGCUUGUAGGCGGUUUGUCGCGUCUGCUGUGAAAUUUCGGGGCUCAACCCCGAACUUGCAGUGGGUACGGGUAGACUAGAGUGUGGUAGGGGAGACUGGAAUUCCUGGUGUAGCGGUGAAAUGCGCAGAUAUCAGGAGGAACACCGAUGGCGAAGGCAGGUCUCUGGGCCACUACUGACGCUGAGAAGCGAAAGCAUGGGGAGCGAACAGG
rnacentral:rRNA from 1 species